UACAGGGGGUGCAAGCGUUAAUCGGAAUUACUGGGCGUAAAGCGUGCGCAGGCGGUUAUGCAAGACAGAUGUGAAAUCCCCGGGCUCAACCUGGGAACUGCGUUUGUGACUGCAUGGCUAGAGUACGGUAGAGGGGGAUGGAAUUCCGCGUGUAGCAGUGAAAUGCGUAGAUAUGCGGAGGAACACCGAUGGCGAAGGCAAUCCCCUGGACCUGUACUGACGCUCAUGCACGAAAGCGUGGGGAGCAAACAGG
rnacentral:rRNA from 1 species